AGCAAAACAGCCAAUAAAUUAUAGAGCACUUAAAAAAAGGGACAAUGUUUGCUGGAGAAAAUAAGAAUCUCGCCGAAAAAUUCAAAGUCACCAAAAAUAUCAAAGAUCCAAAAAAUGGUGAGAAAAAAAUGUUAGAGUACCAUAAAUGACCCAAAUCCCUAAGAUAAGCAUAUUAUUAAGGGAAUGGUAUAAUAACAAAUAAAGGUUGGCGUUGGUUCAACGGCAUAUGCCGGCGCAACACCGGAAACCAGAUUUCGGCCAGAUCAGGCCAUCUUUAAUAUGGUAGUAGCGAAAAGGAGAAGAAAGAGGGUGCGUGGUAGUGCGUGCAGGUGUGCUUGAUCAAAGCCCACUCGCCGGUGGUCAGAUUUGGUGUGGUGUAGCAAAGAAAAGAAGAGAAGGGCUAUUUGGUGGUGGGUGGGAGCUCACCGAUCAUCACCUCCGACAAGCUUGUAUGAAGCAACAGAGGGGAGAAUGAAGCAACA
rnacentral:lncRNA from 1 species